GGUAGUCCACGCCCUAAACGAUGAACAUUAGAUAUUAGGCACUAUGCUUAGUAUCGCAGUUAACACUUUAAAUGUUCCGCCUGAGUAGUACGACCGCAAGGUUAAAACUCAAAGGAAUUGACGGGAACCCGCACAAGUGGUGGAGCAUGUGGUUUAAUUCAAUACGAAGCGAAGAACCUUACCAAGGCUUGACAUGAGAGGUAAUGGCAGCAAUGCUAUUGCUUAAACUAGAGAAAUCUAGUUGAGUCCCACAGGUGGUGCAUGGUCAUCGUCAGUUCGUGCCGUGAGGUGUAUGGUUAAG
rnacentral:rRNA from 1 species